CCUACGGGAGGCAGCAGUGAGGAAUAUUGGUCAAUGGACGAGAGUCUGAACCAGCCAAGUAGCGUGAAGGAUGACUGCCCUAUGGGUUGUAAACUUCUUUUAUAUGGGAAUAAAACGUUCCACGUGUGGGAUUUUGUAUGUACCAUAUGAAUAAGGAUCGGCUAACUCCGUGCCAGCAGCCGCGGUAAUACGGAGGAUCCGAGCGUUCUCCGGAUUUAUUGGGGUUAAAGGGAGCGUAGGUGGAUUGUUAAGUCAGUUGUGAAAGUUUGCGGCUCAACCGUAAAAUUGCAGUUGAAACUGGCAGUCUUGAGUACAGUAGAGGUAGGCGGAAUUCGUGGUGUAGCGGUGAAAUGCUUAGAUAUCACGAAGAACUCCGAUUGCGAAGGCAGUUCACUGGACUGCAACUGACACUGAGGCUCGAAAGUGUGGGUAUCAAACAGGAUUAGAUACCCGAGUAGUC
rnacentral:rRNA from 1 species